UACGUAGGGGCAAGCGUUGUCCGGAAUCAUUGGGCGUAAAGCGCGCGUAGGCGGCCGGUAAGUCCGCUGUAAAAGUCCAAGGCUCAACCUUGGAAUGCCGGUGGAUACUGUCGGGCUAGAGUCCGGAAGAGGCGAGUGGAAUUCCUGGUGGUAGGCGGUGGAAUGUCGCAGAUAGUCAGGAGGAACACCUAUGGCGAAGGCAGCUCGCUGGGACGGUACUGACGCCUGAGGCGCGAAAGCGUGGGGAGCGAACAGG
rnacentral:rRNA from 1 species